GGCGGCGUGCUUAACACAUGCAAGUCGAACGAUGAACCGGCUUUCGGUCGGGGAUUAGUGGCGAACGGGUGAGUAACACGUGGGCAAUCUGCCCUGCACUCUGGGACAAGCCCUGGAAACGGGGUCUAAUACCGGAUAUGACUACCCGGCCGCAUGGUCUGGUGGUGGAAAGCUCCGGCGGUGCAGGAUGAGCCCGCGGCCUAUCAGCUUGUUGGUGGGGUGAUGGCCUACCAAGGCGACGACGGGUAGCCGGCCUGAGAGGGCGACCGGCCACACUGGGACUGAGACACGGCCCAGACUCCUACGGGAGGCAGCAGUGGGGAAUAUUGCACAAUGGGCGCAAGCCUGAUGCAGCGACGCCGCGUGAGGGAUGACGGCCUUCGGGUUGUAAACCUCUUUCAGCAGGGAAGAAGCGUGAGUGACGGUACCUGCAGAAGAAGCGCCGGCUAACUACGUGCCAGCAGCCGCGGUAAUACGUAGGGCGCAAGCGUUGUCCGGAAUUAUUGGGCGUAAAGAGCUCGUAGGCGGCUUGUCGCGUCGGAUGUGAAAGCCCGGGGCUUAACUCCGGGUCUGCAUUCGAUACGGGCAGGCUAGAGUUCGGUAGGGGAGAUCGGAAUUCCUGGUGUAGCGGUGAAAUGCGCAGAUAUCAGGAGGAACACCGGUGGCGAAGGCGGAUCUCUGGGCCGAUACUGACGCUGAGGAGCGAAAGCGUGGGGAGCGAACAGGAUUAGAUACCCUGGUAGUCCACGCCGUAAACGUUGGGAACUAGGUGUGGGCGACAUUCCACGUCGUCCGUGCCGCAGCUAACGCAUUAAGUUCCCCGCCUGGGGAGUACGGCCGC
rnacentral:rRNA from 1 species